AUGGAAGCAGAUGCCGCGGCCACCUUGCUAGCCGGUAUACUCUCCAAGAGAGGAAUUGACGCACCGGUGAAGCAGUUGCAGAGGUUGAUUAAACUGGGGCAGCCAUGGGAACAUUUUUCGGAUACACACUUGUUAUUUUCCGUAUCGGAAUGGCGAGAUUUCGGAGAAACAAUGUGGCAUAARACCAUCGAGGGUGGAGACAAGGACAAGAAGGAGGUUAAGGCGGYGCGAGCUCUGUGGAGCACGGUCCUAGAGACCCUGGCAGCCGUGAAGGCUGAGGGAGAGGUCGCGGCUGCUGCUGCAACAAUGCUGCGCCCUGCGCCACCUAGUGCCUCUUCCUGUCGUGACGGCGGGUCCCAGUUUGCCAUCAGGGGAACCGUUUCCACGGGCAAACCGUACCGCACCGUGGCGGAGAUGCUGCAAAAACUACGGGGGGGUCCAGCCGGCUCUGCGGGAAAAGGGGAAGUUACCCCCGAGCCAGUCGGCUCGAGUACUGACGAGAACGCGGAAGUACAGCAGGAUGCCUGCCAGGAGCCGGGGGAGGGCGGGACAGCUCCUAGUGCCCCGCCUCCGCCGCCCGCAGAGGGGCCGCCUCGACCGUCGGUCCCUCCACCACCGCCCCCCCCGCAGCCCUUGCCUCCGUCCGCUCCUGAGGGAGCCGGCAGUGCGCCAUGCCCAGGGCCCUCGUCGCCGCCCGUACCGGGGGAGGGCAGCACAGCCCCGCCGAGGUCAUGGCGGGAGCCCCUGACAUCGUUAUCUCUGGAGUCGUCAGGCACAGCCUCGCCUACCACCCCCAUGGGGACAAAGCCGUCCACGGCUCAACUAUUAAAAAUGUUUGAGCAGCUGUCAGUAAAACUGGAAAAGCUGGAACUGAGGGACAGGAAAGUUGUUCGCGCACUUUGGAACACCGUACUAGAGACUUUAACGGCAGUGUGCCGGUCUGUCGGGGAGGCACUGCAAAGGGUGUGGGAGAACUCCGAGUGCGGGGCAUCGUCAGCGCCGUCACCCGCUGCGUCCCAGAAAGCGGAGGUUUCCUCAGAGCCGGCUGGUCCGAGCUCUGGGGCAAACGCGGACGUGCACCCGGAGGAGGCUCAAAGAGGGGCGGCGGCCGCGCCCCUUGCUGACCUCAGAGACUCGGGCGGGAAGGAGUGCCGACCCCCUCCUAGUGCUCCCCCCCCGCCGCUGCCUAGCAACAGUCCCCUGUACCCACCGUUGCCGCCGCCUGUGCCACCUCAGCGGCCGCCUCUACCCUCCUUCAACGAGACCACCCGCUCACGCCAGACUCCAUCAGAGUACCCCCCGCUGCUUUCGUCCAGCGAGUCUUCGGGGGAUAACACGCCUGGCACCAGAAAUAAAGUACCACCGUCACCAGAAGAAACCGUAAGAGUGCUACAGGAGCUAUCGGAACGCCUGAAAAAAGUGGAGCUGCAGGCGCAAGAGAAAGAGGGAGGAGUACCUCCCUGCUUAAUGAAUCCCCUUGCCGGACCUCCAAGGGAGUCCCGCUGGAGUGGUAUUAUCAAGGACGCUAUAACAGAAGGACAAUGGAAGCCUGUUGCGGGGUCCGAGGGCCCCACAGAACUGGCAUUCCCCGUGCUACAACAGAAUGGUCAGGGGAAAUGGGAACCACAUGAUUGGAAAAAUUUUACAACAAGCCGCCAAGGGUUGGGAGCCCUUGGAGCUGAGGCAAAAGGGGGGMACCCAAUUUGGAAUAAUGGUACUCAAAAAAAAAAAAAAGAAAAAAAAGGAAAAAAAAAGAAAAAAAAAUGGUGGAAAAAUAUAACAGGGAACAGGACCGCCACCCGUAGUAAACGGGCGGCCGUAGGGCUCUCACCAAAUUGUGAUGAUAAGGUUACCCUACUCAGCCCCACUGAAAGAGUGUUUUUGUCUCUCUUCGUGCCUGGGGCAACAGCAGGCAACGCCCUGAACCAGAUCGGCCGAUUGGCUUGCUGGGCUGGGAAGCAAGCUAACGUCACCACUGAGAUAAUAGCCUAUUAG
ensembl:lncRNA